UACGGAAGGCAGCAGUGGGGAAUAUUGCACAAUGGGCGCAAGCCUGAUGCAGCCAUGCCGCGUGUAUGAAGAAGGCCUUCGGGUUGUAAAGUACUUUCAGUCGUGAGGAAGGUGUUAAGGUUAAUAACCUUAGCAAUUGACGUUAGCGACAGAAGAAGCACCGGCUAACUCCGUGCCAGCAGCCGCGGUAAUACGGAGGGUGCGAGCGUUAAUCGGAAUUACUGGGCGUAAAGGGCACGCAGGCGGUUAAUUAAGUUGGAUGUGAAAUCCCCGGGCUUAACCUGGGAAUGGCAUUCAAGACUGGUUAGCUAGAGUCUUGUAGAGGGGGUUAGAAUUCCAUGUGUAGCGGUGAAAUGCGUAGAGAUGUGGAGGAAUACCGGUGGCGAAGGCGGCCCCUGGACAAAGACUGACGCUCAUGUGCGAAAGCGUGGGGAGC
rnacentral:rRNA from 1 species